UAAUCCCGACGACACUUGACAGUACGGAACAGUCCAGACUCUACUGUAAUAACGAGCUCGGCUUCUCAGCACGAGCGUAAUCUCAAUCUACACUAAUCUAAGUAUCCACGAUGCACUAACAACAGUGAUAGAAAAGGAAACAACUCAUGAAGCUAAUUCUGUUAACUUUUCAAAAAAAUGAAAAGUGUGUAGGUUUAAUAAGUUUUCUCCUAAGUCAAAUCCCAAUUCAGCAUAUAAAAUUUAUCUGCAAUCAUUAGAUUAUACUCCAAAUUCAGAUUUUAUACAAAAACAUGCAAAUUCAUAAAUUCGAGCUACAACAUGA
rnacentral:lncRNA from 1 species